GAUGAACGCUAGCGGCAGGCUUAAUACAUGCAAGUCGAGGGACAGCACAGGUAGCAAUACUGGGUGGUAACCGGCAAACGGGCGCGGAACACGUACACAACCUUCCUUUAAGUGGGGGAUAGCACAGCGAAAUUUGGAUUAAUACCCCGUAAUAUAGUUGAAUGGCAUCAUUUGAUUAUUAUAGCUACGGCGCUUAAUGAUGGUGGUGCGGCUGAUUAGAUAGUCGGCGGGGUAACGGCCCACCAAGUCUACGAUCAGUAGCUGAUGUGAGAGCAUGAUCAGCCACACGGGCACUGAGACACGGGCCCGACUCCUACGUGAGGCAGCAGUAAGGAAUAUUGGUCAAUGGACGCAAGUCUGAACCAGCCAUGCCGCGUGAAGGAUUAAGGUCCUCUGGAUUGUAAACUUCUUUUAUUUGGGACGAAAAAGGGCCUUUCUAGGUCAACUGACGGUACCAGAUGAAUAAGCACCGGCUAACUCCGUGCCAGCCGCCGCCGUAACAC
rnacentral:rRNA from 1 species